AUGGAAGUGUUUCCAAAGCUCCAAGAAGGGGGAGGAUUUGAACUUCUAAAAAUUGCAGGAUCUACUCAUAGUCGAAAUCUUGCAUUGCUUCAAUGUCCCAGCACUGGAUACACCAUUGCGUAUCUGAAAGAUCCAUCUACAAUGAUUGGGCAGGCUACAAUCUGCAUCCGUCCACUUCAACAGGACUUGCGCUUUGAUUGUGAGAGCUCAGGUCAUGCCUCUGGUCCACUCAUCUCCUGCAUCACUUGUCAGAAGGAAGUUUCGUUUUCUGAAAUGAAAAUGCACAGGGAAAGCUGUGAUGGAUGUACUAACAAAGACAUAUGUGUACUACAUAUUCAUUUUACAGUAGGAAAAUGAGAGAGUAUGACAAUGUCAAUUUUGUUAACUUCAAGGACAUCCACGCAGGAAUCACCUAGAGAACGAGAGGGAGGCCAUGGUGAAGAAAAUGAUAGAGAGCCAGCCACAGUCAGUGAAAGUGUGCCAGUCAGGCCUGAAACAUCAGAAACAUCAUUUAGUGUUCAUGGUAAAACACUACACAAGUACUAGGCCGUUUGCCUUUUGGUGCUGCACUGAAUGACAUUUUUCAGGUGUUCUUCAUCUUUGACUGUAAAGGAAUGUAUAUCUGCAUGUAACAUGUUAAGACGGUUUUUUCUAUGUGUAAUUGUUUCAUGUAUUUUUGCGGUCUAGAUUGGGUGUUGAUUAAAGAUCCAGCUCAAGCUGCCAAAGUUUUCAGAGAAAAUCUACUUCGGGAACAUGCAUCUGGGUACCACUUCAGCUGAGGAUGGAUGUAAGGGACUCUGAGGAGGACAGAGAAUAGGCACUUCUCUCAUUCUAUAAACAGCAACGGGAAUGGGCAUGUCCACUUCAUUGUACCCUUGAUGGUUAGUAAUAGAAAUCUAUUGUGUUAAAUAGAUUUAAAUUAGUUAAAUGUCUUUUAAUGGAGUUGUCUUAGUGGCUUACUGAUUUCAUGUGGCUGAAAAGCAUCAUGCGAUGAGCUCUUUUGGCCAAUCAUACUUUGUCGUGAAUGGGCCCAGUGGUCCUAAAUAAUAUACCUGACCACUACUAAUAAAAAUGAGUCGUAGGGGCGAUCGUGGCUCAAGAGUUGGGUGUUCGCUAUGUAAUCAGAAGGUUGCCGGUUCGAGCCCUGGCUUGGACAGUCUUGGUCGUUGUGUCCUUGGGCAAGACACUUCACCCUUUGCCUACUGGUGGCGCCAGUGUCCGGCAGCCUCGCCUCUGUCAGUGCGCCCCAGGGUGGCUGUGGCUACAAUGUAGCUUGCCAUCACCAGUGUGUGAAUGGGUGGAUGACUGGUUGUAUAAAGUGCUUUGGGGUCUUUAGGGACUAGUAAAGCGCUAUACAAAUAAAGGCCAUUUACCAAAUGUGUAUUGUACAAUGCUCCUUUUUUUUGUUUUCUGGCAGGGUCAGGAUUCUAGGAUUACAGCCAAAAUAAUAUUGCUUUCCCUUUAAAAAAAUUUUUUUUAAUUAAAUAGGGUUUGGCAAUAAUACUCGGCCAUUUUGUUUUUUGUACAGUGUAA
rnacentral:lncRNA from 1 species